CCUACGGGAGGCAGCAGUGAGGAAUAUUGGUCAAUGGGCUUACGCCUGAACCAGCCAAGUCGCGUGAGGGAAGACUGCCCUAUGGGUUGUAAACCUCUUUUGUCAGGGAGCAACGCCGGCUACGUGUAGCCUGACUGAGAGUACCCGAAGAAAAAGCAUCGGCUAACUCCGUGCCAGCAGCCGCGGUAAUACGGAGGAUGCGAGCGUUAUCCGGAUUUAUUGGGUUUACAGGGUGCGUCGGCGGACUGUUAAGUCAGCGGUAAAAUCCCGGGGCUCAACCCCGGCGAGCCGUUGAACCUGGCUGGUGUGAGAGGUCGAGAGGUAGGCGGAAUGCGCAGUGUAGCGGGGAAAUGCUUAGAGAUUGCGCAGAACUCCGAUUGCGAAGGCAGCAUACCGGCGGCGAUCUGACGCUGAGGCACGAAAGCGUGGGUAUCGAACAGGAUUAGAUACCCGUGUAGUC
rnacentral:rRNA from 1 species